AUCUAAUAAAAAAAAAAGAGAGAGAAAUCUGAACUCCUGGAUCGGACUGUCGCGAGCUCCGGAGGUCGCGAGCUACGGAGGUGGAGGUUUCCUUCCCCAAAAGAUGCGCAGCUCCCCGGACCACAUGUUCCCUAGAUUCUACUUCCGGUCCCGGGUCAGCGGCGUCGCCUCGUUCACGCGACGCGCACUAGUUUAAAAAAAAAAAGAGAGAAAAAGUUUUUAAAAAAAGUUUUUUUCUUUUUUUUCUUUUUUCCCCGGAGAAGAAGGAGCUCCAUCCGAAAAUGCUGUCGCGAGCUCCGGAUCGGUCCGCCGCCGGGUGUGAGGCCGUCCGGCUCGGGUAGAAGAGCAGCGAGGAGACGGAGGACGCGAGGGACGCUGGAUUUUAAUUUUUACUUUUUUUUUUUUUUUGUGGAGCCGACGUUAUGAAAAUGACCGGAGCCAUGGAAACUUCUUUCAAACUGGCUUUGAAGAAACCGCCCCCGCUGCGGACCGCAGAGGACCUGCACACCAUCUACUGCCAACUCUACCACAUGGACGUCCUCUCUCACCUCAGGGAACAUCAGCUCAGGUCCAUGUGCACCUCGGCCAGGUACGAGCGCCACGAGGCGAACCACAUCCUGUUCUACCCCGACAGCAUCGCGACCUGCUGGUUCAUCCUGCUCUCGGGGUCCGUCUUCGUCAAGGAGCACAUGUACCUGGCCAGGUGCUGCUUCGGUAAGCAGCUGGAGGGCAGACGAGGCUGUGAAUGCAUCACUUUGGAGCCGUCCGAAAUGAUUGUGGUGGACAACGGUGGCGAGGGGGACGACGACUUCCUGCUGCACCGGGACGGUUCUCAACGGAGGUCCAGGCGGCGCUUCAGGAGAGUGAACCCCCGGGGGGAGCGAGAAGUCAUCACCGACCCUCAACCCGCCGGCUACAGCACGCUUCCUGCCGACCUCAAUAAGAUGCACCUGACGGACCACGCCCAUCAGCAGGUGAUGCACAUGGCUCCCAGCCAAUCAGGAUGCAGCAUCGCCAGCGACUCGGGGAGCAGCAGCCUCUCGGACAUUUACCAGGCCACGGAGAGCGAGCUGGGGGACGUGGACUUGUCUGGACUCCCGGAGGCUGCGGUGGACAGCGAGGAAGAGGAGGAGGAAGACGAGGACCUGGAGAGAGCUUCGGACACUCUGCUGGGCCGAGACCUGGUCCGGGAGUGUCUGGAAAAAGACCCAGCAGACCGCAACGACGACGACAUCGAGCAACUACUGGAGUUCAUGCACCAGCUGCCGGCCUUCGCCAACAUGACCAUGUCCGUGAGGAGGGACCUGUGCAGCGUCAUGGUGUUCGAGGUGGUGGAGCAGGCCGGCACCGUCGUCCUGCACGACAAGCAGGAGCUGGACCUCUGGUACGUCAUCCUGAACGGGGCCGUGGAGAUCAGCCACCCGGAGGCCCGGCCGGAGGCCCUCUGCAUGGGCAACAGCUUCGGCAUCUCGCCCUCUUUGGACAAGCAGCACAUGAACGGAGAGGUCCGCACCAAGGGGGACGACUGCCAGUUCGUCUGCGUGGCCCAGGAGGACUACUGGCGCAUCCUCAACCACGUGGAGAAGAACACGCACAAGGUGGAGGAGGAGGGCGAGAUCGUGAUGGUGAAGGAGCACCGCGAGCUGGACCGCAGCGGCACCAGGAAGGGCCACAUCGUCAUCAAGGGAACCCCAGAGCGCCUGAUCAUGCACCUGGUGGAGGAGCCGUCGGUGGUGGACCCCACCUACAUCGAGGACUUCCUGCUGACCUACAGGACCUUCCUGUCCAAUCCCAUGGAGGUCGGCAAGAAGCUGCUGGAGUGGUUCCACGUGGACAACCUCCGGGACACGGUCACGAGAAUAGUGCUGCUCUGGGUCAACAACCACUUCAAUGACUUUGAGGGCGACCCGGCCAUGACCCACUUCCUGGAGGACUUUGAGAGACACCUAGAAACCACGAAAAUGAAGGGCCACUUGCGGCUGCUGAACAUCGCAUGUGCAGCCAAGGCCAAGUGGAGGCAGAUCACCCUGCAGAAGGCGGCCAGGGAGUCGGCGCUCUUCUUCAGCGUGCAGGGCGGCAGCGAGCGAGGCUUCGGCAUCUUCGUGGAGUCGGUGGAAGUCGGGAGCAAAGCUGCCGAGGCCGGACUCAAACGGGGAGAUCAGAUCAUGGAGAUCAAUGGCCAGAACUUUGAGAACAUCUCCUUCUCCAAAGCCGUUGACAUCCUGAGGAACAACACGCACCUCGCCGUCACGGUCAAGACCAACAUAUUCGUCUUCAAAGAGCUGCUCAGCAGGAUCGUGCACGAGAAGAAGAACGGCGGCCCUCACAUUCCCAAGAUCCAGGAGAAGAAGGGCAACCGCUUCUCCAUCCCCGACCUUCCCGGAGACAUGGAGUUCUCCUCGGACCACAAGAGCACCAGGAAGAUGAAGGCCAACACCGUGUCGGGGGGACGCAACAAGAUCCGGAAGAUGCUGGAGAAGACGCGCUUCAGCAUCCUGCCGCCCAAACCGUUCAGCGAUGGCGGCGUGGGUCAGUCCCAGGACGACAGCAUCGUUGGCACCAAGCAGUGCCGCCACAGCGUGGCCAUCAUGCCGAUCCCCGGCAGCCUGUCGUCCAGCAGCCCCGACCUGCUGCACCCGGCCUCCAGCGUGCUGGACUUCUCCAACCCGGCAGACAUCCCGGACCAGGUGAUCCGCGUGUUCAAGGCCGACCAGCAGAGCUGCUACAUCAUCAUCAGCAAGGACACCACCGCCAAGGACGUGGUCGCCCACGCCGUCAACGAGUUCGGCCUCCUGGCGGCGCCCGAGACCUACUCCCUGUGCGAGGUGUCCGUGAGCCCGGAGGAGGUCAUCAAGCAGCGGCGUCUGCCCGACCAGCUCUCCAAGCUGGCCGACCGCAUCCAGCUCAACGGCAGGUACUACCUGAAGAACAACAUGGAGACGGAGACGUUGUGUUCAGACGAGGACGCACAGGACCUCCUCCGAGAGAGCCAGAUCUCUCUGCUGCAGCUCAGCACCAUGGAGGUCGCCGCCCAGCUCUCCAUGAGGGACUUUGAGCUCUUCAGGAACAUCGAGUCCACCGAGUACGUGGACGACUUGUUCAAACUGGACUCCUCGUUGGGAAGUGGGAACCUGAAGCAGUUCGAGGAGGUGAUCAACCAGGAGACCUUCUGGGUCGCCACGGAGAUCCUGAAGGAGCCCAACGCCCUGAAGAGGAUGAAGACCAUCAAGCACUACGUCAAGAUCGCCCUGCACUGCCGGGAGUGCAAGAACUUCAACUCCAUGUUCGCUAUCAUCAGCGGCCUGAACCUGGCUCCGGUGGCUCGGCUGCGCGGCUCGUGGGAAAAGCUGCCCGGGCAAGUACGAGAAGCUGUUCGUGGACCUGCAGGACGUCUUCGACCCGUCCAGGAACAUGUCCAAGUACCGCAACGUGCUGAGCAGCCAGAGCAUGCAGCCGCCCAUCAUCCCGCUGUUCCCCGUGGUCAAGAAGGACCUGACCUUCCUGCACGAAGGCAACGACUCCAGCGUCGACGGCCUGGUGAACUUUGAGAAGCUGAGGAUGAUCGCCAAGGAGAUCCGACACGUGGUGCGGCUGACCUCGGCCAACAUGGACCCGGCCCUCAUGUUCAGACAGAGGUCUCUGAGUCAGGGCAGCACCAACUCCAACAUGCUGGACGUGCAGGGCGGCGCCCACAAGAAGCGAGUGCGCCGCAGCUCGCUGCUCAACGCCAAGAAGCUGUACGAAGAC